UAGGGAAUCUUCGGCAAUGGGGGCAACCCUGACCGAGCAACGCCGCGUGAGUGAAGAAGGUUUUCGGAUCGUAAAGCUCUGUUGUAAGAGAAGAACGUGUGUGAGAGUGGAAAGUUCACACAGUGACGGUAACUUACCAGAAAGGGACGGCUAACUACGUGCCAGCAGCCGCGGUAAUACGUAGGUCCCGAGCGUUGUCCGGAUGUAUUGGGCGUAAAGCGAGCGCAGGCGGUUUAAUAAGUCUGAAGUUAAAGGCAGUGGCUUAACCAGUGUUCGCUUUGGAAACUGGUAAACUUGAGUGCAGAAGGGGAGAGUGGAAUUCCAUGUGUAGCGGUGAAAUGCGUAGAUAUAUGGAGGAACACCGGUGGCGAAAGCGGCUCUCUGGUCUGUAACUGACGCUGAGGCUCGAAAGCGUGGGGAGCAAACAGG
rnacentral:rRNA from 1 species